rnacentral:rRNA from 1 species
ACCCUUAAUAGAACUUUUUGAAAACUAAUUACAACAUAAAAACAUAAUUUAAAUACAAAAUUUUAAAAGAAAUUAAAUCAUUACCUUAUAAAAAAUAUAAAUGAUCUUGUACGUAAUAGAGAAUGAUAACAGAAAUAAAAUAAUAAUAAAUUUACAAACAAAUAGAAAGACUCAAAAACGGAAACUCCCCACUAACCACACAAAAGUAUCUAUACAAAAAGUACUAAGAAGGAAAUUAAUAAAAAAUCUAAAAAUCCUAUAUGUAAUCAAUACUAUUCCUUUUGCAUCAGGAGCUUACCAGAAAUAACAUAAAUAAUAUAAAAUUAUAAAAUAACAUACUAAUUAAGAAAUUUAUAACCCCCGAAAUCUUGUGAUCUAACUACAGACAGUCUAAAAGGACGAAUUAAUAAAUGUUACAAUAUUUUUAAAUGAACUGUAACUAGAAAUAAAAAAUUAAACAAACAAGAAUAUAUCUGGUUUUCAACGAAACAUAUUAAAGUAUUACUAAUAAACAUAAACCGCCAUUAUCUUUAAAAUAACUAUAAACAGACUUUUUGUGAAAAGAUUAUAAGUCAAAAUGGAAACAGCCAUACUCUACAUCUAAAAUCACAAAAUUUAUAACAAAAGAAAAUAUUAGCCUCAAGACAAAUAAAAGUUGACCUAAAAACAGUCAUCUUCUAACAAAAACGUAAUAGUCUAUAACAAAUAAAUGCUAAUAAAAAAUUCAUGAAUUAAUAAUAACAUAUUAAAUAUUAGAAGAAAAAAGAAAUAGUUGAAUAAUUAAUAAUAUCACUAAACUAACAAUGUAAGCACUAGUAACUUCAUAACACACCCAAGGGGGGAAAACCGGAACUUACUUCAAUAACUUUACCGUCCCUUAAUCCAACACAGGUGGGAAAAUCCAACUAAAAACUUCUUAAGGAAUUAGGCAAACAAAAGUUCGACUGUUUACCAAAAACAUAGCUAUAAGAACAAAUUAUAAAUAGUGACGCCUGCUCAAUGAUUGAGUAAUAACCCAUAAAAACAAUUCAAUAGCUGCGGUAAUACCUGACCGUACAAAGGUAGCACAACAAAUAGCCUAAUAAUUACAGGAUCGCAUGAAGGCAAAACGAAACUUUAACUGUCUCAAGAAAUCCAAAACUAAAAUAGAAUGUAUGUGAAAAUCCACACUCAAGCGGCAAGACGACAAGACCCUAAAAACUUUACCAAAAGUUUUAAAUAAUAAACCAAUAACGUUAUCACUUACUAAAUAACAAUAAACUUAAAACUAAAGUUUCGUUGGGGCAACGAUCUCAAAAAUAAUAAAUAAGAUUUAUACAAUCCUCUAACCUAUAGACCAAUAAGUUAACACCUAGAUAAGACCCAUUAAACACUACAAGUUAAUGAACAUAAAAUAAAAGCUCUUUAGGGAUAACAGCGUAAUAUUGUUAACAAAGAUCCACUCAAACAAUGUUUGCGACCUCGAUGUUGAAUUGCUAUACCCAUAAUGUAGCCACAUUAAAAGGUUGGACUGUCCUUCCAUUUAAAUAGCCCAUGAUUUGAGUUCAGACCGAGGCAACUCAGGUCAGAUUCUAUCUACCGCCAUAACUCAAAUAAAGCCCAAGUACGAAAGGAAAACACUUUAAAACAAAUAGUAAACAAUUACCACGAUAAAAAUAACUAAAAUUAUAAAUUCAAAUAUUUAAGCCCAUAAAAACAUCGCUAAAAUAGAAAAAAGAAAUAAAAUAAU